AUGAUGGACUACAGUUCAGCACUGCUCCUUUUAGUCAUCUCUCUGAUGGGUGUUGAUGGUCAGACUCUGACAGAGUCUGAACCAGCAGUAAAAAGACCAGGAGAAUCUCACAAACUGACCUGCACAGCCUCUGGAUUCACAUUCAGUGACCRCUGGAUGGUCUGGGUCAGACAGGMUCCUGGAAAAGGGCUGGAGUGGCUUGCUUUAAUCCACCCAGGCGGUGGCAGCACAUACUAYUCUCAGUCAGUUCAAGGCCGCUUCACCAUCUCCAGAGACAACRGCAAACAGCAGCUGUAUCUGCAGAUGARCAGCCUGAGAACAGAAGAUUCUGCUGUUUAUUUCUGCGCUCGAGAGKCACAGUGA